rnacentral:tRNA from 2 species
GCUGUGAUGGCCGAGUGGUUAAGGCGUUGGACUCGAAAUCCAAUGGGGUUUUCCCGCGUAGGUUCAAAUCCUGCUCACAGCG